UGGUCAGUCACAGACGGCGGUUAUCGACAGAGACUGUUGCUGUGAUUGUGUGCGUGUUUGCCAAAAAGUGAAUUGCUUUGAUCAGUUGAAUUGCUUUGAUCAGAGUUCAUUCGCUUUGACCAAAGGCUGCCGACUGAGUCCCAACCCACCCCAACCCACCCCAACCCUCUUUGUCGCUGCUCCACCUUUUGUCUCUGACUUCUUUCACUCACUGUCCAUCUUGUGGUGUUGAUAAGACAAUCUGAUGUGUGGAUAAGACAAUCUGAUGUGUGGAUAAGACAAUCUGACUUGUGGAUAAGACAAUCUGACUUGUGGAUAAGACAAAAACCCUUUUUGGGCUGUGCAUUGAAAUAUAUCCCCUUGCAUCGGGGCCUGACUGUUGAGACUUUAUUACCUGUUGUGUGGAAUCCAAUUGAGAAAAGUGCAAGACACGAGCCAUGCCACGCAAAAGCAAGAAGGCGCAAGCUGCCAAGGUAAGCUGGCAACAGCGUAAAAACAACACAGACUCUGGAAGUGCAGAUAAACCAACAACUGCCAAAGAAUUGAUGGCCAUUGGACCUGAAAACUCUAUGGAGGUAAUGAUGUCCACAUCUCAUGAUCCUGUAACAUGUGUUUUGGCAUCCUACAGUCAAAAUCAUCCAAAGUAUGCUGAUUCCAGAAACAGUCAGUGUGCUGCAAACUCUGCUACAUUUCUAGCUUUCCUGCAGGAGAUAGAGAAUGUGACCAGUGCUCACCUGGACCUUGUUCUCGAUCGAGGCAAUGAGUUCUAUGUGGCUACUGUGGCUGUGCUGAAAGCAGAAGGACGGUACGAACAUCAUCACUUGGCAACCGAUGAAAUCCCAUCCAUUGUGAAUGGCUUGCACAAACAG